AUGAACGCUGGCGGCGUGCUUAACACCUGCCAGUCGCACGAAGCACUUUAUUUGAUUUCCUUCGGGACUGAUUAUUUUGUGACUGAGUGGCGGACGGGUGAGUAACGCGUGGGUAACCUGCCUUGUACAGGGGGAUAACAGUUGGAAACGGCUGCUAAUACCGCAUAAGCGCACGGCAUCGCAUGAUGCAGUGUGAAAAACUCCGGUGGUAUAAGAUGGACCCGCGUUGGAUUAGCUAGUUGGUGAGGUAACGGCCCACCAAGGCGACGAUCCAUAGCCGACCUGAGAGGGUGACCGGCCACAUUGGGACUGAGACACGGCCCAAACUCCUACGGGAGGCAGCAGUGGGGAAUAUUGCACAAUGGGCGAAAGCCUGAUGCAGCGACGCCGCGUGAGCGAAGAAGUAUUUCGGUAUGUAAAGCUCUAUCAGCAGGGAAGAUAAUGACGGUACCUGACUAAGAAGCACCGGCUAAAUACGUG
rnacentral:rRNA from 1 species